CACCAAUUGACACGAAAGUUGCAUCCAUAAUUGGCACCGCAAGCGUGAGUGGCAUCGUGUCCGAAAGGGAAGGAGACACUGACAACACAGAAGAACAAGCUGGCAUGGCUCGGCUCAGGGUGGACUGGCACACUCCUGACCGAUCGGCCAGCUCCCGCUGGAAGGCCCCUGUUGCCAGGAACCCCAGCGUGGUCAGCACCUGUGGGCACGGACAACCCCUGGCUCCUGGCUGUGUGGCGCUCUAGGGCCGGCCGCAGCUCUGCGCACAGCUCCAGUAAUACUGGCCUGGGGAAACGAAAUCGGCUCAUGAGCCAAUCAUCAUCAUUUGCGAACCCCCGGAGUGCUGUCCCUGGGCCGGUUGAAGUCCCUUAUAUCCUCUCGUGCUGGACGUGAUGUGGACCCCUUCCUCGCAUUCAGGUACUGCAGGGCCAACUUUGUUGCCGUUAAUCCAUCUUCGGGUUCGUGUUCUCUCACCCACGUCCUGGUGUCAGGAGGAAGCACCAGAAGCAGCUGCUCCAAGAUGAUGGACUCCGCCAACUCUUCUUUGCUCCUCCGCUCCGGCCGCAUCCAACGCCGGUAGAGGCCCUUCAACCUGUGGUACGCCUCCGAUUGUGUCUCCCCAGGUGGUCCUGAAGUAGCCCGAAACCGCUGACGAUACAUCUCUGGAGAGAUGUCAAAAUUGUCCAACAGCGCCUCCCUCAGGUCCUGAACUUGAAAGGUUGGAGCUCCAGGUACCACCUUGUUACCCUGGCAUUCCGAUCCUUCAUUGUCUGAAUCCAGAUCGAGAGGUCCCUGAACUGGCCAGCCAUAGAGGAGCUCGAAGGGGGAGAAUCCUGUGUAGGCUUGAGGCACUUCCCUGUAUGCAAAGAGAAGAAAUGCGACUGCUCGUCAAUUUGAACGCAAGUUGACUGAAUUGCAGUACAGGGGUGCACUGCAGUAGUGGCUGCAUUACGCACCUGAGAGGAGUGGCGGGGUACCAAGAAAAGGCAAAGAGAUAUAAGGACAUAUGCUAUUGUAAUGUUUUGAAUUAUAGGGUUAUUAGGGUUAAUGUUCAUAAUUCCUUAAGAUGUUUGUUUGUAAUUGCUUUUGAAUAUUUAUUAAAUAACUUUUUGAAU
ensembl:lncRNA